rnacentral:rRNA from 1 species
UACAUAGGGUGCAAGCGUUGUCCGGAAUUAUUGGGCGUAAAGAGCUCGUAGGUGGUUCGUUACGUCGGAUGUGAAAAUCUGGGGCUCAACCCCUGACCUGCAUUCGAUACGGGCGAACUAGAGUGUGGUAGGGGAGACUGGAAUUCCUGGUGUAGCGGUGAAAUGCGCAGAUAUCAGGAGGAACACCGGUGGCGAAGGCGGGUCUCUGGGCAGUAACUGACGCUGAGGAGCGAAAGCGUGGGGAGCAAACAGG